UACGAAGGGGCUAGCGUUGUUCGGAAUCACUGGGCGUAAAGGGCGCGUAGGCGGCCGAUCAAGUCGGGGGUGAAAGCCUGUGGCUCAACCACAGAAUUGCCUUCGAUACUGUUUGGCUUGAGACCGGAAGAGGUUAGUGGAACUGCGAGUGUAGAGGUGAAAUUCGUAGAUAUUCGCAAGAACACCAGUGGCGAAGGCGGCUGACUGGUCCGGUUCUGACGCUGAGGCGCGAAAGCGUGGGGAGCGAACAGG
rnacentral:rRNA from 1 species